GAUGAACGCUAGCGGCAGGCUUUAACACAUGCAAGUCGAGGGGCAGCGUGACGGUUAGCAAUAACUGUUGACGGCGACCGGCGCAAGGGUGCGUAAACGCGUGAGCAACUUGCCCGUUUCUGGAGGAUAACCGGUGGAAACGCCGACUAAUACUCCAUAGUAUAUGCGAGAGGCAUCUUUUGCAUAUUAAAGAAAUUUUGGAAACGGAUAGGCUCGCGUGACAUUAGCUAGUUGGCGGGGUAACGGCCCACCAAGGCGACGAUGUCUAGGGGUUCUGAGAGGAAGGUCCCCCACACUGGAACUGAGACACGGUCCAGACUCCUACGGGAGGCAGCAGUGAGGAAUAUUGGUCAAUGGUCGGAAGACUGAAACCAGCCAUGCCGCGUGAAGGUGACGGCCCUAUGGGUCUUAAACUUCUUUUGUCUGGGAGCAAUAAGGUGUUCGUGAACACCCGAUGAGAGUACCAGACGAAUAAGCAAUCGGCUAACUCCGUGCCAGCAGCCGC
rnacentral:rRNA from 1 species